UUGGGAGGUUCAUCUACUUUGAUGCACCGACGAAGGCGAUGGACUUUGGGUGUUGCGUUGUCGAAAGACGAAGCAUCCCCUGAAAAGCAGACCCCUUGUCGUGAUACAAAACCACGGUUCUGUGUUUCGUGCCUCUGAGGGUGUGGUAGGCAUUUCGUUAAACAUAUGCUUAUGUUCACCAUCAGUAGACUCGGAAGCUAUGCGG
rnacentral:rRNA from 1 species